rnacentral:rRNA from 1 species
UAACAAGGUUUCCGUAGGUGAACCUGCGGAAGGAUCAUUAUUGAAUAAACUUGAUGGGUUGUUGCUGGCUUUUAGGAGCAUGUGCACGCCUAUCAUCUUUAUCCAUCCACCUGUGCACCUUCUGUAGACUUUGGAGGUAACGAGCGUGAAACUUGUCGCGCGAGUUUCUCUGGGUCUAUGUCUUUCAUAUACCACAUAGAAUGUAUCUAGAACGUUUCAUUGGGCCUAUGUGCCUAUAAAACACUAUACAACUUUCAGCAACGGAUCUCUUGGCUCUCGCAUCGAUGAAGAACGCAGCGAAAUGCGAUAAGUAAUGUGAAUUGCAGAAUUCAGUGAAUCAUCGAAUCUUUGAACGCACCUUGCGCUCCUUGGUAUUCCGAGGAGCAUGCCUGUUUGAGUGUCAUUUAAUUCUCAAUCCCCUCCAGCUUUUUGUGGUUGGCUUGGUGGAUUGGAUGUGGGGGUUUAUCGUGCGGGCCUCUUCAGAGGUCGGCUCCCCUGAAAUGCAUUAGCGGAACCGUUUGCGGGACUGUCACUGGUGUGAUAAUUAUCUAUGCCAAAGACAACCGCUCUCAGAUAGUACUGCUCCUAAUCGUCCUUUAAUUGGACAACGAUAUCUGAACGCUUGACCUCAAAUCAGGUAGGACUACCCGCUGAACUUAAGCAUAUCAAUAAGCGGAGGAAAAGAAACUAACAAGGAUUCCCCUAGUAACUGCGAGUGAAGCGGGAAGAGCUCAAAUUUAAAAUCUGGCGGUAUUUGGCCGUCCGAGUUGUAAUCUAGAGAAGCGUCACCCGCGCUGGACCGUGUA